rnacentral:tRNA from 1 species
GCAGCCGUGGCCUACUGGUUAGCGCUCCGGACUUGUAACCGGAGCGCUGUUGCCGGUUCGAACCCCGACCAGUAGGA